rnacentral:rRNA from 1 species
AUGGAUGCACGGAUGAGGCUGAUAAUCCAGGCAGCAGCACUGAUUAGUGUGAUUCAGGCAUGUGUCAUGUUCAUGCACCAGAGAGAUGUUCGUCGUGCUGGUAGACCUUUGAUCCUCUAUGGUCCAUUGUUUAUCCGGGAACAGGAGAGGAUCCAAAAUCUGAACUACAUCUACAACUGCAAUGACGUCGAGGAUCUCUGGAUGCUUCGAAUGAAAAGAGCACCAUUUUCCAGGCUUGUCGAGACCUUCAGGAGCAAGGGGCUGCUACAAGAUAGCAUCAACACCAGUGUCGAAGAGCAAGCCAUGUUCCUCCAUGUUGUUGGCCAUAACCAGAGGUUCAGGGUCAUUCACAACACGUUCAGGAGAUCAAUGGAGACCAUCUCUAGGUAAUUCAAGCAGAUGCUUUUUGCUAUUGGAGAGCUUAGAGGAGAGAUGAUCAGGAGACCAUCUGGUAAGACUCCACCCAAGAUUCGUGGAAACCCAAGAUGGCAUCCAUACUUCAAGGUGAGCAAUGACAAUAUACACUAUUCAUGGCUUGAUAUGCUUGUAUUGUUCAAGUUGAGCACUAACACGGGCUUGUGA